CCUACGGGUGACAGCAGUGAGGAAUAUUGGUCAAUGGCCGGAAGGCUGAACCAGCCAAGCCGCGUGAAGGACGAAGGUGCCAAGCAUUGUAAACUUCUUUUGUCAAGGGACAAAAUCAGGCUCGAGAGCCUGACCGAGGGUACUUGAAGAAAAAGCAUCGGCUAACUCCGUGCCAGCAGCCGCGGUAAUACGGAGGAUGCGAGCGUUAUCCGGAUUUAUUGGGGUUAAAGGGUGCGUAGGCGGACUGUUAAGUCAGCGGUAAAAGCCCGGGGCUCAACCCCGGCGAGCCGUUGAAACUGGGUGGCUUGAGAUGUCGAGAGGUAUGCGGAAUGCGCAGUGUAGCGGUGAAAUGCUUAGAUAUUGCGCAGAACUCCGAUUGCGAAGGCAGCAUACCGGCGGCGAUCUGACGCUGAGGCACGAAAGCGUGGGUAUCGAACAGGAUUAGAUACCCCAGUAGUC
rnacentral:rRNA from 1 species